CGCCAGACUCCUACGGGAGGCAGCAGUGGGGAAUAUUGCACAAUGGGGGAAACCCUGAUGCAGCAACGCCGCGUGAGUGAAGAAGUAUUUCGGUAUGUAAAGCUCUAUCAGCAGGGAAGAAAAUGACGGUACCUGAGUAAGAAGCCCCGGCUAACUACGUGCCAGCAGCCGCGGUAAUACGUAGGGGGCAAGCGUUAUCCGGAUUUACUGGGUGUAAAGGGGGCGCAGACGGCGAUGCAAGCCAGGAGUGAAAGCCCGGGGCCCAACCCCGGGACUGCUCUUGGAACUGCGUGGCUGGAGUGCAGGAGGGGCAGGCGGAAUUCCUGGUGUAGCGGUGAAAUGCGUAGAUAUCAGGAGGAAUACCGGUGGCGAAGGCGGCCUGCUGGACUGCAACUGACGUUGAGGCCCGAAAGCGUGGGGAGCAAACAGGAUUAGAUACCCCGGUACUA
rnacentral:rRNA from 1 species